rnacentral:lncRNA from 1 species
GCCGGGUUGGCCUUGACCCCAGCCUGCUCCACAGCCCACACUUCCCGGUCCGGUCCUCCGCGCCGCUCCGCUCCGCCUCCCCAGGACUCCCUGGUUCCUCGUGCACCUCUCCGUCCUCAACAGGCCCCAGGCCCGUAAGGCCAUGACUAGCAGCUCGUCCGCGAGGGUUAGUGCUCGGACUCUGGAAUCAAGUCCUCGGGAUGCACUCCAAAGCAGGUGCUGGGUGCGCACUGGUGGACCGGGCAGAGCUCUGAGCGGUGCUCGAGGUCCCCCAGCCGGUGGGAAAGGCAGCUGGCUCCGCCUCAAGACCUAGGUCUGAGGCCUCCGCGCCCUCCGCUCAGGCUCCGGCUUCCAGGUCGCUGCGUCCACAUCCAGGGAAGCGCUGGCCGCACCCGGGCGCGCCGGGCCGGGAUCCUCCCCUUCGACCUUCCCCGAGGUUGGGCCGGAACGUUGAGGUCCCGGGUCUUGUCUCCCCGAGCUCCUCCAGCUGGGCCCCAAGCCCUCGAGAGAGCCGGAUGAGUGAGGUGGGCUCGGCCCGUGACGGCCGGGCUGCGGCGCGGUGUGCGGAAGAGGGCGCCCCUCGGGCGCGGGGGAAGGGGCUGGGGCGGGAGCAGAUGGCAGCAAUUACGGUCCCGCUGCCCGCUCAGGGCGCGAGGCCGGAAGAUCGGCUGCGCGGGCCCUGGGGUGGGGGCGGGGGCCCCAGCUUCCAGGGGAGAGCGCGUGAGUGCCGCGGUGGGGAAACUUACUUCUCCCGGAACAGGGGCUGGGACACUGGACCAUUCUCCCUCCCCGAGUUGGUUUGGCCCAGUGCCCUCAAAAGCCCCGAACCUGCAGUUAUUUUCAAAGCUGCGAUUUAUUUGCAGGAAGAGCCCUUGGCGCAGGCUGCAGGCUGGGGAGAGGGGAGUUGCACGGAUGUGCGUGUUGUGGCCUAAGUGCCGUGGAGGGGAUGCCUGGAACCUGCGAGCCCAGCUGGAGGCCUUGGCUGACUCCUCACGGAGGAAGGCAGGGGACCUUUCCUCACAAAGGCCGAUGAGUCAGCCUGGACUGUUCCUCAGUCAGGGCUGCUGGCCCUGGAGAGAGGAACAGCAGAUGGCUAGGGUUGGCCCCUGUGGUUCGGGGGCAGGGUCCAAGAGGGCAAGAGGGAGCCCCUGGCCCAAAGGAAGCAACUGGACCGGUGUGGCUCCCUGGCCCUUUCUCCCUUCAGAACUCCUCUCCUGUCCUCACCCUGAACCUCGUCCCGUCCCGUGUCUGUUAGAUCUUGAAUCAGCCUCUGUUAAACACCUCACCCCAGCCCUGCUCACUUCCUUGCACAACUGCAAAGGCUCUCCUUUGCUCUGCUGCUCACUGACAGUAAUCCACAGGAGCACAAGACCUUUAAGAACACAGAUCAGAAACCCACAGAGCAGGCUUUCCCCGACACGUGGCCUUAGCCUUGCAGGUCCCCACGCCCGGAUCGCCCUCUCAGGCUCCUUCACAAGACCGUCGCUCUCCCACUGCCCUUCCACAACCCCACCUGCUCAAUCCCCACUGCCUCGCCACCUUCUGCCUUUCUUCCAGGGGGUUCACCACCUUCUGCAGUUCUCUCAUUGGCCUCAUUUGUGGGUCUGGAAUUCAUACUGGCCUUGGACUCACUGUGUAGCCCAGGCUGGCCUCGAACUCAUGGUGAUCCGUCCGCCUCAGCCUCCUGAGUGCUGGGAUUAUAGGUGUGGGCCACCACGCCAGCUGGAACUCCGCUUUGAUACCUCCUGAACCACAGCCCACUGCUGUGUGGCCAUCCGGGCAGGAGACCUGGCUGUCCUCAAUCAUCACUUCCUCUGCACUUGGCCUGGCACAGAGCAGAAGUCCGUAGGUGUUUGUUGGGUGGAUUCCCGAGUGAGGGGAUGAUCUAGGGAGGAGGAAAAGAUGGAGUGAAUGCAGCAGGGACUAGAGACGCCAACAAUCUCUGAGGCUCAGUUUCUUCAUCUGUAAAAGAUGGUGAUGAGGCUCUGGCCCCCUUUCUGGCUCCAGUGUGAGUCAGCUGCGAUGGGGCAGGAACCCAGAGGCCACUCCCUGCUGUCUAGGCCUGGCUCCAGGAAUGGGUAGGAGGCGCUGAAAUGACCAGAGUUCCCCUCCCCCACCCCCCGUCCCCCAGAAUUUAUAGAUUCUUCAUUGUCCUGCACAAAGGCCUUCUUGGGAGGGGCGGGGUGGGUGAGGAGACAGGGGAAUUAAAAAGUCAGAGGGUGAGUAACAGCCAGCCACACCCAGGGCCCCAUGAAUCCGCCUGGGCCCCUGUGAGACCACUGACUUGCCCUCAGAGGCUUACAGGGCUCCUGCUGCAGGGACCAGCUCGCCCUGCUCUCAGCCCUGGUGGCAGAGGGAUGGGGGCAUGUGAAUGUGUGAGGGGUGGCUCGCCUUGUGCGAUCUCCGAUCUGACCUCUGCGAGUCCUUCCUCCCAUCUUGCUCCCUGGUGGGUGGUCAGCUGUCGUUCUAGUUCGCUGCUGUUGGUUCUGAGCAGGAAAAUGUACAGUCUGCGGGUGCCUGCUUCUCUGAUGAGAAGGUCCCGAGGCCCAGACUCCAGGAAACAGCCUCCUCCCCCACUCUGGCCCCUUGGGUAGAAUUGACAGAUGGUGCCCUGUUAACAGAUGACAUUGGAAAUCGGAAUUACUCAGCUGCUUGUCCCUCUGUCAUCCCCACGGAAGGGGGUGGCCUGCAAACUGGGAACGACAGUGAACUCUAUUUUGAGGGCUAUAGAGGACAGGGAAGGAGAUGCUCCAGGGCACAGGGGACCAGAACCAGGUACACAGAAGAUCUAACUUGGAAUCUCAUCUCUACCACGUACCAGCCAGGUGACCUAGGUGCAUCCAUCACCGUCUGAGCCUCUGCUCCCUCAUCUGUCAAAUGGGUCCAUGGGAAACUGUCCUACUCUCCUCCCUGGCUUUUAGGAAGAAAAUGGGGUGGUUUGUGCUUAUAAAAUGGGCUUUAAAACUUGUGAAGGAGUAAAAAAUGUAAGAAGUUGCUGAUUAUAAACAAUAAAUGGCAGCCCAUUCGUUGUUCAUAAAAUUACUUCUGAAACGUUUUUCUUAAAACAAUGUAGAAUAGAGCAGAAAACAUCACACAGUUUU